rnacentral:lncRNA from 1 species
AAAAAUAGAAAUAAUAUUAGCAUAAAAAUAUUAAACGGAUUGAUAAAUCAUAAACAAAUCAAUUAAAAGGACUACAUUGAAAUCAAAACUAAAUUACAAGAAAAAAACAAAAGUAAAACAAAACGGAGGGCUAGAGUAUAAUGCGCGAAUAACAUGAGGGCCAAAUGGGAAAUAUUCCCUUCCCUCAAAACGCAGUGCCUUGACAUGGAUUAAAAUGAAACAAAAACAAAAUGAGAGAUUAAAUCUGAAAAGAAAUAAAAGGAUGGGAUUGAAGUGCGCUUGAAUAGUGGAGGGGUUGUGCAAGCAAAUAGACCAUCAAACGAAAUGCGCUGAUCCUUCCCUCGGAUCGGGUCACCCCGCAGGUUAUAGGGCCAAUACAGCGCCGUUUUGGUGGCCACUGAUUAGGCCCCAAACGCCGCCAUUUCGACACCCCACAAGAACCAAGUUUAAAACCCUAAACAAGGUUAUUCUGCCACUAAGACAUAACAGAGAAAACUUUGCCUCUCCCCUCUCCUCUUGCGCCGUUCAUCGCCUCAAAAUAAGGGCUCUCCGAAUCCCAUGCACGGUUCUGAUUGCGGCGGAGCGAGCUCGAGACCGGUCACCAGGUAAAUUUCCUUUCUCUAAACUUACCCCGUUUUUAAAUUUCUACACUAACAAUGAAAAAAAAAACAAAAGAGAAACAUGGAAAAACAAAGAAAGAUUUCAAAAAUCACCUUAUGAAACUAGGUUUUACACUAUUUUCUUUGAAUAUUUUCUUUUUCGCUUUUUUAUUCAAUCUCGUAUGUAUGUGUCCCCUUUACAGUAUUCCAAUGGCUCUUUUAUAGCCAGAUUUACAGAAAAAAUAAAACAAAAUAAAAAAAAUGAAAUUCCCUCAAAUCCCAUCUGUUAUCUGUUGCUGCUAGCUUUCGUCUGUAUUUGCAGGUAUUCGGCCAGCCUGGAACAACAGAGAGAGGCAUAUCCAUGUGAAGAAGAUGCACGCGCCUGAUGGUGUUGCACGCGCAAGGUCUGGGCCUGAGAGAUUUGGGUUUAGAAAAUUGGGUUUGGGGUCUAUUAGUUGAUUCAGAUUUAGGGUCUGUUUAGGUUUGGCUGAUUUUCGGCUAGUAAUCUGGGUUUAGGUUUAGUAUUUGGGUUAAGGACUGAAUUAGGCUUUGAAUCUGUAAAUGGACAUUUAUUUUUUGAAUUUUUGAUUUGAUUUUAAUAUUUAUAAAAACUAGGCUGUUAAUAGUGAAUAUUUUAAUUUAAUUUAUUUUCUGGUAUUUAUUAGGCCGGGCAAAAUGGGUUAUUACACUAAUCUUGGAUCCAACAUCCAACUUGUUGGGGUAUACAAGAAAAAGACAAUCAAGGGUGUUUCAGAUUUUCUUUUAUUCCUUAAUCCUCCACUAAAACCAUACGCGUGCUUUGCACCAAAAAGCCUCACUCUUUUUUCUGCAACUUUAUCCAAAAAAUAAUACUCAGUUUCCUCAACCCUUUCUUUAUCUGAUCUUUUACAUGAAAGUUUG